rnacentral:rRNA from 1 species
UACGUGGGACCCAAGCGUUAUCCGGAAUUACUGGGCGUAAAGAGUUGCGUAGGUGGCAAUGCAAGUAGAUGGUGAAAUCCUGGGGCUCAACCCCUUCAACAUUAUCUAAACUGCAUAGCUUGAGUAUGGGAGAGGUAGAUGGAAUUUCUAGUGUAGGAGUGAAAUCCGUAGAUAUUAGAAGGAACACCGAUGGCGUAAGCAGUCUACUGGCCCAUUACUGACACUAAGGCACGAAAGCGUGGGGAGCGAACGGG